CCAGAAUUAUUCCGUACAUUAGGCGUAGCUGCUUAUGAAACGCACUGAAUUCAGCAAGUUUUCUCAUCGUUGGAAUGUCUUGUGCCUGCUGGGAGUAUUCUCAUACACACAAACACACACACUGGCAGGUUUUAACAUAGCAACAUAGCAUGAAGUUGACAUGUACAUUCUUGCCUUUUACACCAAGUAACACCUCUACUUACAUGCUGACAACGCCAGCUGUGACGUGACAGAUGGCUCCAUGUCGCCAUUUUUGCAGUAAAUUCAUGUGUGGGUUAGUGGUGCGAUGUUGGCAAACGAGCCCUGUCUCUUGAACAUUUUUUAAUAGUCAACCUUAAGAACCCUUGCAUAGUUGGAAUCUAUUCAAACUCGUUCAGCCACUUUGCAGGGGCGGAGCUUCCCUUGGUGCACGAAUUUCAUUGGCUGUGAAUGCUGCCAGUCAAGCAGUUGCUGAAAAAUAAAACCCUGUUUGCUUUUAAUUAUGAGAAAAGUCGAUCUUUGAAACAAAAGGGGGCCUUUAAUUUGAAGUUUUACAAAACCGGAUGCAGGUGAGACACUCCCACAGAGUUGGCCUACGUUGAGAUGGAAAUGUCGGAGCCUCAGGUUAUUAAGAGGGUCACACACGGUAACUGGCUCCAUGUGGUUGCAGUUCAAAUUGUGCCAGAUUUCAGAACAGCAGGGUGCCCCAGAGAGUCGAGGCCAUAUCCAUGCUGUCCGUCAACCUCUGCCCGAGCUAUGGGCAAAUAGUUAAGACCUCAACGCUGGCCCAGGCGGGAUAUGUCAGCAGUGAGACGCACCACAAUGGCUGGGAAGAUGGAGCAAGGCUACAUCCAAGAUAGUCACUGUGGAGAGGCGGAGCCGACGGCGGGGCAGUACACGCUUUGGCCCUGCUCAAGAUGGCGGCCAGGAGACGGAGAAUGCAGUGGAGUGAGGAGGCAGGGCGUGCCGGGAGCGACGCAGCGGCGAUCGAGAUCAGGUGCGUUGCUCACACUGCCUAUCUCCUCUCAGCGUAUAAAAGGGGGGGAAGUAGGAAAGAUCGAGGAGAAGAGGUGGAGUGUCCGCAGCACAGCAGAAGCAGACGAACAAGACCAAUCCGAGAAUGAGCCCCAGAGGAAGACGACAACACCGGCAGCUGAAAAGUGGACCGAUAUGAGCAGCGGAGGAGGAGGGGCUGGAAAGCCACCCGAUCGACAAUGACCUUUUCCUGUUUUAAAAAAUAAGAGUCAAACCUGCUCGACGCGAUGUCCUUCCUGAAUGGUCCACGCAACCCACACGACGACGGCUGGAGUCGUUCACAGUCACCAAUCAUCUUGGUCUCCAUACCAAAGUACCUUGGCCCGUUUGAUGCCAAAGACUGAGCGGAAGCUGACCUUUCAUCAACGUUAAAAGAUUCCACGCACUCCCCAGUGGACAAUGAAUACAGGGAAUAUGGGAUUGUUAUUCUGCACUGAAGGACCCUUUCACGUGAGUACAAUCAUUACUUGCCUGUUCAUUUUGUGACCCCGAAAGCCCUCCACCCAAACUGGAUGAAAAGAGCUGAAGUCAUUAUGUAAUGAGAAAAACCUCAAAUGCUAAGACUAAUAAUGAACAAAAACACAAAGAUCUGUCUUCAAAUACAUGAAUAGAAUUUAUUCAGUCUUUUUAUUAGACUAUUUCAUAACAAAUUUGAUGAUGACGUCAUGUUCAUACGCUGCCCCCACCUUCGGGAUCUCACCAUGCAAGUAGAGAACAUAUAUACCGUAUUUCCUUCAAUUGCCGCCGCAUAUAGUAUGCACCUGCCUUGAAUUACUGCCGGGUCAAACUCGCUCGCAAAAUAAUUAGCACAUGCUUAGUAUUACCGCCUGGUCAAACUCGUGACGUCACAAGUGACACUUCCCCUGUCAUCAUUUUCAAAAUGGAGGAGGCUGAUUUCAAUAGCAGUAAUUUGAAAUUGCAUAAAGGGAAGAAGAUUAAGAGCUGUUCAGUAGGAUUUAAGGUCCAAGCUAUUGAAUACCAGUAUGCUAAAAAGAAGAGUAAGCAGCUAUGUUUUAUUCAUAUACCGGUACCUGUGGAGAGGUGGCAUCCGACGGUCCGACAGACAGGCAGAGCACGUUGGAGAUGGCGGUGAGGAGACGGCAAGCGAGCGGAGAGGAGGAGCGGAAGAGUGACAUGGACUGAGGUUUUAUUAAAAAAUAAACAAAGUCAAACUGCUCAAGCCAUGUCCUUCCUUGGUGGUCCUGGGAACCCGCAAGACGACGGUAUACCGUCACAAUACCGUAGCUGCGUGUGUCAAAUAUGAGUCAUUAAUUGACUCCCGCCUCCUGGUGGUAGAGGGCGCUGGUGAUCCUUCUUUCGACUACUCGGCUGCAGAAGAAGUGAAAUGAGUGACGUGAUAUGUGCUGGGACGGAUAUGACGGAUAUGAACUGGACCAGCAAGAGUGACCAGCGUGUGUUUAUUAAAAUAAAACCGUUUUCUAAACUGGAAUUUCAAUCAAAGCAGGAGGUGAUAAAGGAAGAUCUCCAUCGAGACAGAGAGACUUUUAAAACUGAAGAAAGAUAAGGAAGACCUCUAUAAACAAGUUAUCGAUGCUUUUGAUCAGAAGGAGCUGGCAUGGACUUCAUUUAUAAGUAAAGGUAAGACCAUAACAACGUUUUUUUAUUAAAUGUGUUUUUCAUGAUGGUAUCCUUACAUCACACUCAUAUUUCUACUGCAUGCCUUCGGUAAGCGCAGGAGUGAGAAGAGGUUUUAAAUUAAUUAGCGCCCCGGCGGCAAUUCAAGGAAAUACGGUAGGUAUAUUUUACCUAAUGUAAUGAAUAAUCAUGAUUAAUAUUUAAGAUUUUAAUAUUGAUAAAAAAAUUGUAAUCAUAACGCUAGUUUUGAGCCAUUAUGCUUCCUAUCUUACAUUAGGUAUGUCAUUAGUGUUCAUUAGCCAUCAAGUGUGCUUCUGCUGUUUCAAACCAGGUUCUCCAAACAAGUCUAAGGUUUUUAAAGGCCUACUGAAAUGAGAUUUUCUUAUUUAAACGAGGAUAGCAGGUCCAUUCCAUGUGUCAUACAUGAUCAUUUUGCGAUAUUGCCAUAUUUUUGCUGAAAGGAUUUAGUAGAGAACAUCGACGAUAAAGUUCGCAACUUUUGGUCGCUAAUAAAAAAGCCUUGCCUGUACCGGAAGUAGCAGACGAUGUGCGCGUGACGUCACGGGUUGUAGGGCUCCUCACAUCCUCACAUUGUUUAUAAUCAUGGCCACCGGCAGCAAGAGCGAUUCGGACUGAGAAAGCGACAAUUUCCCCAUUAAUUUGAGCGAGGAUGAAAGAUUCGUGGAUGAGGAUAUUUAGAGUGAUGGACUAGAAGAAAAAAAUAUAUAUCAUAUUAUGUUGCUAGUGUUUUAGUGAGAUUAAAUAGUACCUGAUAGUCGGAGGGGUGUGUCCAUGGGUGUGUUGACGCCAGAGUCUCUGAGGGAAGUCACGAUCAGCUGAAGCACGACAGAAGCUCUGUUGAUCUCCGGUAAGAGGCGACUUAUUUCCACAAUUUUCUAACCGAAAACUGCCGGUCGACAUGUUUGCUUGACCGCUCUGAUCCAUAAAAAAGCUUCACCUCCGGGAAUUUUAAACAAGGAAACACAGUGUGUUUGUGUGGCUAAAAGCUAAAAGCUUCCCACCUCCAUCUUUCUACUUUGACUUCUCCAUUAUUAAUUGAACAAAUUGCAAAAGAUUCAGCAACACAGAUGUCCAAAAUACUGUGUAAUUAUGCGAUGAAAAGAGACGACUUUUAGGUGUGUGCUGCUGGGCUAAAAUGUCCUAAUAACGUCACAAACACGUGUCAUCAUUUUGCGACGUUUUCAACAGGAAACAACGCAGGAAAUUUAAAAUUGCAAUUUAGUAAACUAAAAAGGCCGUAUUGGCAUGUGUUGCAAUGUUAAUAUUUAGUCAUUGAUAUAUAAACUAUCAGACUGCGUGGCCGGUAGUAGUGGGUUUCAGUAGGCCUUUAAGUCAAAGAUCUAUGAGCGGUCCUACAGCAGCGAAAAUGGGUUAGCACCUGUGGUUUCUGCCAACUAAGUCCAUAAAUGAUAAUGGUUAACUUUGCACUGUUGAAAUGAUUGACAGCAUGUAAAGCAAGUAAAUUAGUGGCUUAAAAAGUCAGGAUGUUUGACGUUCAUUCAGACUUUUUAGAGAUUCAGUUUGGCCAUCAAGUUGGGAACGACAGAUGGGUCUCGAACUUGAACGUAGAAGCCCGCGGCUCCUCCGGCAAUGAGGGCCAGGCUCAACUUGAACAGGCGACCGGAGACGGAGCCGUUUUGUUCCUGUUCCUUCACCUGGAAACAAACAGGAAGUCAUUAUCCAGACCAGGGGUCACCAACCUUUUUGAAACCAAGAGCUACUUCUUGGGUACUGAUUAAUGUGAAGGGCUACCAGUUUGAUACACACUUAAAUAAAUUGACAGAAAUAGCCAAUUUGCUCAAUUUACCUUUAACUCUGUUAUUUUUAAUAAUUAAUGAUAUUUAUCUUUGUGGAAACACUGAUCAUCUUAAUGAUUUUUUCACAUUAAAUAUAUACUUUUGAUGACAUGUUUUAAAUAGGUUAAAAUCCAAUCGCACUUUGUUAGAAUAUAUAACAAAUUGGACCAAGAUAUAUUUCUAACAAAGACAAAUCAUUAUUUCUUCCAGAUUUUCCAGAACAAAAAUUUUAAAAGAAAUUCAAAAGACUUUGAAAUAAGAUUUAAAUUUGAUUGUACAGAUUUUCUAGAUUUGCCAGAAUAAUUUUGGGGAAUUUUAAUCAUAAUAAGUGUAAAGAAAUAUUUCACAAUUAUUCUUCGUCAAAAAAACAGAAGCUAAAAUGAAGAAUUUAAUUAAAAUGUUUCAUUAUUCUUUACAUUAAAACAAAUUUACUUGAGCAUUGAUUUAAAUUGUCAGGAAAGAAGAGGAAUGAAUUUCCAUCCAUCCAUUUCCUACCGCUUAUUCCCUUUUGGCGCCCAUCUCAGCUACAUUCGGGCGGAAGGCAGAGCACACCCUGGACAAGUUGCUACCUCAUCGCAGGGCCAACACAGAUAGACAGACAACAUUCACACACUAGGGCCAAUUUAGUGUUGCCAAUCAACCUAUCCCCAGGUGCAUGUCUUUGGAAGUGGAAGGAACCUGGAGUACCCGGAAGGAACCCACGCAGUCAUGGGGAGAACAUGCAAACUCCCCACAGAAAGAUCCCGAGUGCAGGAUCGAACCCAAGACUGCAGGACCUUCGUAAUGUGAGGCAGACGCACUAACCCCUCUUCCACCGUGAAGCCCGAGGAAGAAUGAAUUUAAAAGGUAAAAAGGUAUAUGUGUUUAAAAAUCCUAAAAUCAUUCUUAAGGUUGUAUUUUUUCCCUAAAAUUGUCUUUCUGAAAGUUAUAAGAAGCAAAGUAAGAAAAAAUAAUUAGUUUAUUUAAACAAGUGAAGACCAAGUCUUUAAAAUAUUUUCUUGCAUUUUCAAAUUCUAUUUGAGUUUUGUCUCUCUUAGAAUUCACAAUGUCGAGCAAAGCGAGACCAGCUUGCUAGUAAAUAAAUAAAUAAAUUAAAAAAUAGAGGCAGCUCACUGGUAAGUGCUGCUAUUUGAGCUAUUUUUAGAACAGGCCAGCGGGCGACUCAUCUGGUCCUUACGGGCUACCUGGUGCCCGCGGGCACCGCGUUGGUGACCCCUGUUGUAGAUCGAGGUUUAGCACAAAGAGUGACGCGAUUGAUGGCCAACCUUCCUGGUCUUCAGGGGUUCGAACAAGCGGUCAAACUGUGUGAAGAUGGCUCGCCGGGCGCCCUCCCACUUGCCGGGCCCAGUCAGGCGGUAUUGAUAGGCGGUGACGGGCCCCCACAGGACCUUUUUGAAGAGCGGGUAGUCGGUGAAGAGGAGCCACAGCAGGCUGGGUCGGGCUCCGAUCUCUCCGGCCAGGUCGUCCAUGUAGGACACAAAGUCCACCUGGAGCGGCGUCAGCUUGGACACGAUGUAACUGCGUCAAGAAAGGUAGACAUUAAAUGUCUAAAUCGGGAACUUUUGUUGUAGAAUUUAAUCAAGUGAACCUUUUGUUGAUGUCCUUGGUGUCCUGCUCUACAGCUUUGACCAUGGCCUGGUUUGAAGGUAACUUCAGGUUUCCUAAAAGACACUUGAACGUCUUUAGUGUGAUUUCAUGCAGCUGAUGUGACGUUCAAACAAGUACCCGGACAGCCACAACAUGGGUGUUUACCGUUAAAAGCCUACUGAAAUGAGAUUUUCUUAUUCAAAUGGGGAUAGCAGGUCCAUUCUAUGUGUCAUACUUGAUCAUUUCACGAUAUUGCCAUAUUUUUGCUGAAAGGAUUUAGUAGAGAACAUCGACGAUAAAGUUUGCAACUUUGGUCACUAAGAGAUAAGCCCUGCCUGUACCGGAAGUAGCAGACGAUGACGUCACAUGUUGAUGGCUCCUCACAUCCUCACAUUGUUUUUAAUGGGAGCCUCCAACAAAAAGUGCUAUUCGGAGCACUCCCCAUUAAUUUGAGCGAGGAUGAAAGAUUUGUGUUUGAGGAUAUUAAUAGCGACGGACUUGAAAAAAGAAAAAAAAAACGCGAUUGCAUUGGGACAGAUUCAGAUGUUUUUAGACACAUUUACUAGGAUAAUUCUGGGAAGUCCCUUAUCUUUCUAUUGUGUUGCUAGUGUUUUAGUGAGUUUAAUAGUACCUGAUAGUCGGAAGGGUGUCUCCACGGGUGUGUUGACGCCAGUGUUUGAUGGAAGUCGACGGCAGCUGUACGGACAGCACAAGCUCAGCUGAUCUCCGGUAAGUGUCAACUUUUUACCACAAUUUUCUCAACGAAAACUGACAUUUGACAAGUGGUCGGGAUCCAUGUUCGCUUGACCGCUCUGAUCCAUGGUAAAGUUAACCUCCGGGAAUUUUAAACAAGGAAUUUGUUCUAAGUUUGUGUGGCUAAAGGCUAAAGCUUCCCAACUCCAUCUUUCUUCUUCGACUUCUCCAAUAUUAAUUGAACAAAUUGCAAAAGAUUCAGCAACAUAUAUGUACAAAAUACUGUGUAAUUAUGCCGUUAAAGCAGACGACUUUUAGCUGUGUGUGUGCGCAGCGCUAAUAUUUCUUAAAAGGUUUGUGACGUCACGUGUACACGUCAUCAUUCCGCGACAUUUUCAAUAGGACACUUCGCGGGAAAUUUAAAAUUGCAAUUUAGUAAACUAAAGCGGCUGUAUUGGCAUGUGUUGCAAUGUUAAUAUUUCAUCAUUGAUAUAUAAACUAUCAGACAGCGUGGUCGGUAGUAGUGGGUUUCAGUAGGCCUUUAAAGGUCUACUGAAAUGAGAUUGUCUUAUUUAAACGGGGAUAGCAGGUCCAUUCUAUGUGUCAUACUUGAUCAUUUCGCGAUAUUGCCAUAUUUUUGCUGAAAGGAUUUAGUAGAGAACAUCCACGAUAAAGUUUGCAACUUUUGGUCGCUAAUAAAAAAAAGCCUUGCCUUUACCGGAGGUAGCAGACGAUGUGUGCGAGACGUCACGGGUUGUGGGGCUCCUCACAUUGUUUACAAUCAUGGCCACCAGCAGCGAGAGCGAUUCGGACCGAGAGAGCGACGAUUUCCCCAUUAAUUUCAGCGACGAUGAAAGAUUUGUGGAUGAGGAAAGUAAGAGUGAAGGACUAGGAAAAAAAAUAGACAGCAGAGUGAUUCAGAUAUUAGACAAAUUCACUAGGAUAAUUCUGGUAAAUCCCUUAUUUGCUUAUUGUGUUACUAGUGUUUUAGUAAGAUUAUUUGGUCGUACCUGUACAACCUGAAGGUCGGAGGGGUGUGGCCACGGGUGUGGUGACCGCCAGUGUCUCCGAGGGAAGCCACGUUUCUCGACGAGGCGAAGGCAGCCGAUGCUUCCUCCACGGUGGAAGAAUCUGACGGUCGGGGGCGGCCGGUGGGAGGAGGCAAGAGAGUCUGCAGCUGCCUCUUUGACAGGUGCAGGAGAAACGACGCAAGCGGCAUGGCGUAGUGGGUAGAGCGGCCGACCAGAAACCUGAGGGUUGCAGGUUCGCUUCCCACCUAUUUACAUCCAAAAAAAUCGCUGCCGUUGUGUCCUUGGGCAGGACACUUCACCCUUUACCUCCGGUGCCGCUCACACUGGUGAAUGAAUGUUGAAUGAAUGAUAGGUGGUGGUCGGAGGAGCCAAGCCGUAGGCGCAAACUGGCAGCCACGCUUCGGUCAGUCUACCCCAGGGCAGCUGUGGCUACUGAUGUAGCUUACCACCACCAGCACGUCGGCCAACCGGGGAUUGUCACAGCGGAGUCGCAUGUUAUUGCGCGGAUCGUUAUCCCAGGAUGAAGACCGAACUCCAAAGGCAAUGUGCAGGUUAUUACCUGCUGCUGCUGCUGUUGCAGAACCAAAUAAAACAAGCAAAAAAGUGCACAGUGAGUAAUUCCUUUCAUGCUGAGUGACGACCCCUAUUCCAAGGGCCAAUACGGAAAUAACUGAACAAUGUAUGCACAUGCAUGUAUAUUGCUGCAUAUUAAUGUGUAUAUAAUUGGAUUGUAAUGUUUCCUCUUUUUUCUAUUUGUUUAGACCACACACACAUACACACAAAUUCACAUCUACUUUUCAGCAAUAAAGAUGAUAUCGUGUCCCAAAUCUAACAGAACUACUAUCCCUUCCUAACACUAAUACCCCUAUACCAGGGGUGUCCAAAGUUUGGCCCGGGGGCCAUUUGCGGACCGCAGCACAUCAUUCUAAAAAUACCAAAAUAUAUGUAUAUAUUUUAAACAUUAAAAAGUGGAAUAAAAGAGCAAAUCGGUGAAAUGCAACGAGAAAAAGUUGCAUUGUUGACUCUAAUAACACCAUUUUUUAAAUAAUUUCUCAAAAAAUAAUGAAUAAAAAUCAGUGGUGCUAUAAAUUAUUGAUUGAUUUAAGGACAAAAAGGACAUAAAUACAAAAAACUUAAAAAUAUGUAAAUUUGAAAAAAAAAAUCCAUACUAAUUAUAUACUAAUACUAAUUAUACUAAUUAUCCUAUUUAUUGUUAUUAUAAAUAUACUAAACCAAUUACAAUAUAUUAUCUGAAGCUGAUAUUGAGAUUUAAGUGUUGAAGGGAAAAAAAAAAAAAAAAGCAUGACCUUUUUAUGAGUGGGGCACUUUUGGAUCCCUAAAGAUUUUAGUGGAAUUUAAUAACUGUCUUUGCUAAAAAAAAAAUGUUUUUUUAAAUAAUAAAUUUAAAUAAAUUUUGCUAUGAAUUAUUGACCUAUUUAGGGUUCCAAUUACUUCACAUUAAAUAUUUCUCUUUGAAAAUCCUUUUGGGGAAAAUAUUGUGUAUUUUGCAUUUCGCCUCAAAAAAUAGGGUUUCAACAAAAAGCUCGUAAAAAGUAAAAAAAAAUAAUGAAGCGGAAUUAGCGAUUCAGGGGUUUCAUGAAAAAAAAUAAUAUAUGACUUAUUUUGAACCUUGUUUAAGACUGAAACCCUUCUGAGCCCCAACAAUUAAACAAAAAAAAGAAGUGUAUAUUGGAUUGGUUUUGAAAAUGAAAAAAUAUUUGAUUUUUCAGUGUGCGGCCCUCAGUGGAAAAAAUUUGGACACCCCUGCCCUAUGCCCUACUAGUUACUAUGGUAAUCUAGGUCACUUCAGGUCAGACGAGGCACCAAGCAGUGUGGGUGGGGAGCGUUUCCACAGAGUGUUUCCAGAGCGGGUGUCAGGGACCAACGUGGGAGGAGAUUUUUACAAGAAAGUUCUAAAGUUUAGUGAUGUAUCACAUACAUCAGAUUGUGAAUGUUUUUUUUUUUUACCCUUCACGUUCAUAUUUCGCUGAGUUUGUUGCAUUUGGCUUGAUUGUAAAAUAUUUCGAUGGGGGGGUGAUGUUCAUCAAUCGUUUAUUUAUAUAGCCCUAAAUCACAAGUGUCUCAAAGGGCUGCACAAACCACAAUGACAUACUUGGUAGAGCCCACAUAAGGGCAAGGAAAAACUCACCCCAGUGGGACGUCGGUGACAGUGACAAUGAUGACUACGAGAAACCUUGGAGAGGAUUGAAUAUGUGGGGACCGAAAGCAAUGGAUGUCGAGCGGGUCUAACAUGAUAUUGUGAAAGUCCAGUCCAAAGUGGAUACAAUAUAGUAGCGAGAGUCCCAUCCAAAGUGGAACCAGCAAGAAACCAUCCCAAGCGAAGGCGGAUCAGCAGCGCGGAGAUGUCCCCAACCGAUACACAGGCGAGGGGUCCAUCCUGGGUCCCGACUCUGGACUCAUAUGUUCUCAAUAUUCAGAGUUUUAUCGUUCAUAGAAAAAAAAAGAUUCUAUUCCGUUUUUAAGGCGGUCUGUCAUCACAUUUUUAGCAUUCAAUCAGACUUUAUUGUGAGGUUUUGUAUUAGUUUUCCUAAAAAUAGAUAAACCGGCCCCCAGACACAUUUUUUUGUCUAAUUUUGGCCCCCCUGAGUUAAAAUAAUUGCCCCGGCCUGUACUAUAGCAUCUUAUCAAAUUGAGAAAAAUCAUAAAAUGCCCUUUUAUGGACACUUACUUAAUAUACAAUACCACCACACCUCAUUUACAUCAUCACACAAAGACAGACACACCUCAAAAUUUACAACAAAAAUGCUGUCAUGGACAAGCGGUAGAAAAUGGAUGGAUAGAUGGAUGAAGUUAAUAUUUUUCAUGAUGGGAUUUUAGUUAAGCAAGUUGAAGACGACACACACUUGCACCGUCUUCUCGCGGCUUAAGCGAGACUCCUGUUGAUUUUGAAAAGCAGGCAGAGGUGAAAGGAGAGGGAGGCAUGGGCUUAUAUGAAACAUGAGGGUAAUGGGAAACAGGUGGAAACAAUCAUGGGGUCAGGGAUGAUGUCAGAUUAGUGACACGAGAGGAAGGGCCCGUGAUCUGAAACAAGAGGAGUUGCUUUUCAAUAUGAAACAUGCAAAUAACAAGCAUAAGCGAGACUCCUGUUGAUUUUGAAAAGCAGGCGGAGGUGAAAGGGGAAGCAUGGGCUUAUAUGAAACACGAGGGUAAUGGGAAAGAGCUGGAAACAAUCAGGGGUCAGGGAUGACGUCAGAUUAGUGAGACAAGAGGAAGGGCCCGUGAUCUGAAACAAGAGUUGCUUUUCAAUAUAAAACAUGCAAAUCACAAGCAUAAGCGAGACUCCUGUUGAUUUUGACGAGCAGGCCGAGGUGAAAGGGGAGGGAGGCAUGGGCUUAUAUGAAACACGAGGGUAAUGGGAAAGAGCUGGAAACAAUCAGGGGUCAGGGAUGACGUCAGAUUAGUGAGACAAGAGGAAGGGCCCGUGAUCUGAAACAAGAGUUGCUUUUCAAUAUAAAACAUGCAAAUCACAAGCAUAAGCGAGACUCCUGUUGAUUUUGACGAGCAGGCCGAGGUGAAAAGAUGACAUGCACGCUCGUCUCCUUGUGAUGUUUAUUUGCUGAAUAUUUUUCAUGCUGGGAUUUUAGUUAAGCAAGUUGAAGACGACACACACUUGCACCGUCUUCUCGCGGCUUAAGCGAGACUCCUGUUGAUUUUGAAAAGCAGGCAGAGGUGAAAGGAGAGGGAGGCAUGGGCUUAUAUGAAACAUGAGGGUAAUGGGAAACAGGUGGAAACAAUCAUGGGGUCAGGGAUGAUGUCAGACUAGUGACACGAGAGGAAGGGCCCGUGAUCUGAAACAAGAGGAGUUGCUUUUCAAUAUGAAACAUGCAAAUAACAAGCAUAAGCGAGACUCCUGUUGAUUUUGAAGAGCAGGCGGACGUGAAAGGGGAGGCAUGGGCUUAUAUGAAACAUGAGGGUAAUGGGAAACAGGUGGAAACAAUCAGGGGUCAGGGAUGACGUCAGAUUAGUGACACAAGAGGAAGGGCACGUGAUCUGAAACAAGAGGAGUUGCUUUUCAAUAUAAAACA